AUUGAACGCUGGCGGCAUGCCUUACACAUGCAAGUCGAACGGUAACGGGCUUUGGUGUGGCGAGGAGUGGGGGAGGGGAGAGUAAUACAACGGGACGAGCCCGGGCGGGUGGGAGAACGAGAGGGAAGCUUAUCUAGUAUACGACACGAGGGAGAGAGGGAGGCAGGGGACGGCAAGGCGCGACUGGAGCGGCGGGGACGAGGGCAGAUUAGGUAGUUGGUGGGGUAAAAGCUUACCAAGCCGACGAUCUGUAGCUGGUCUGAGAGGAUGACCAGCCACACUGGGACUGAGACACGGCCCAGACUCCUACGGGAGGCAGCAGUGGGGAAUUUUGGACAAUGGGCGCAAGCCUGAUCCAGCCAUGCCGCGUGCAGGAUGAAGGCCUUCGGGUUGUAAACUGCUUUUGUCCGGAAAGAAAAGCUUUCUUCUAAUACAGGGGGGUCAUGACGGUACCGGAAGAAUAAGCACCGGCUAACUACGUG
rnacentral:rRNA from 1 species